CCUACGGGUGGCAGCAGUGGGGAAUUUUGGACAAUGGGCGCAAGCCUGAUCCAGCCAUUCCGCGUGCAGGAUGAAGGCCCUCGGGUUGUAAACUGCUUUUGUACGGAACGAAAAGGCUCUGGUUAAUACCCGGGGCUCAUGACGGUACCGUAAGAAUAAGCACCGGCUAACUACGUGCCAGCAGCCGCGGUAAUACGUAGGGUGCGAGCGUUAAUCGGAAUUACUGGGCGUAAAGCGUGCGCAGGCGGUGAUGUAAGACAGGUGUGAAAUCCCCGGGCUUAACCUGGGAACUGCAUUUGUGACUGCAUCGCUGGAGUGCGGCAGAGGGGGAUGGAAUUCCGCGUGUAGCAGUGAAAUGCGUAGAUAUGCGGAGGAACACCGAUGGCGAAGGCAAUCCCCUGGGCCUGCACUGACGCUCAUGCACGAAAGCGUGGGGAGCA
rnacentral:rRNA from 1 species